rnacentral:rRNA from 1 species
GACGAACGCUGGCGGCGUGCUUAACACAUGCAAGUCGAGCGGUAAGGCCCUUUCGGGGUACACGAGCGGCGAACGGGUGAGUAACACGUGGGUGACCUGCCUUUAGCUCUGGGAUAAGCCUGGGAAACUGGGUCUAAUACCGGAUAUGACUCCGCGGUGCAUGCUGUGGGGUGGAAAGCCUUGUGCGGCUGGAGAUGGGCCCGCGGCCUAUCAGCUUGUUGGUGGGGUGAUGGCCUACCAAGGCGA